rnacentral:lncRNA from 1 species
GCCUGCCACGCCCGGGACGCACAAAUGCUUCUGGGUCUGCAGAGGAGCAAGCUGCGCUGGCCCACGAGGCCCUUCUCCCCGGGGCAGAUGGAUUUCAGGCGCCCCCCACCCCUUGAGGAGAAUAUCAAGGAAAUGGACAGAAGAGUAUAUUACAACUAUCAUCUCUGCCCUUGGCCUCGUGAGGGUCGCUGGGCUGGGACAAAGUCCUGCCUGGGCAGUUGACAUCAAAAUUCGUCGUGCCUUGCCUGCUUUAUGUGGGCAAAAGGAUGAAAGAAUUGCACUUCUGUUGCGCUUCCACUGCUAGAUCAUAAGCUCCCUGAAAACACGUUGCAUCUGUGUCUCUAGCAACUUCCACAAAUGUUUGGAGAAUAAAUUAAUGUGUGGCAGGGCGCGGUCCCUGUGAACUCUAACUGUGCUCUUUUUCUCUGUGACAGAAAAGGAGACAUUGCAGAGAAUCAACCUGUGCCUGCAGCUAGGGAUUCGUUAAUUACUUUGUUCCCUCUUUUCCUCCCUCCCUCCCUUCCUCCUUUCCUUUCGCUAACAUUUUGAUGGAUACCUCAUGUGUGCUGGAGAUCAGGCGGUGGACCAGGGAUACAAGAAACGAGACUCCUAGCCCUUGAGAUGCUCUUCAUGUGGGGUCAUUACUUAGGGAUCAGCAAUUUGCUAAAGAUGAACAGAUUCUAAGAAGAUGGUUUUCCAGCAGCAACCAAUUUUAAAUCUGGACUGUGCACCAGGCACCUCUUGGAUGGACAGCCCUGAAACAUCUUUCAUGCAACUCCUCAGGCAGCCCAGAAACAGCCAGGAACCAUUCGCCAGGAGCUGUGGCCAACUUAAUAACUCAUCCUUGUAUUGGUUUCCAUCCUCUGUCCUUCAUCCGUCUUGUCUUUUACUCCUACUUGCUGGAUCACACAUCCCAAUAAAUUUUUGCACUCAAGCGUUUGUCUCAGGAUCUGCUGUCCGGAGGACCAAGACUAAGUUCAAGUCAUAUUUUUUUUUUUUUGAGAUGGAAUCUCACUCUGUUGCCCA